CAUUACAGGGCCUAGGAUAUCAAU
rnacentral:piRNA from 1 species